rnacentral:rRNA from 1 species
AGCGUAGGCGGUGAAGUAAGUUAGAUGUGAAAGCCCGGGGCUCAACCUCGGGACUGCAUUUAAAACUGCUUUGCUAGAGUGCAGGAGAGGAAAGCGGAAUUCCUAGUGUAGCGGUGAAAUGCGUAGAUAUUAGGAGGAACACCAGUGGCGAAGGCGGCUUUCUGGACUGUAACUGACGCUGAGGCUCGAAAGCGUGGGGAGCGAACA